rnacentral:rRNA from 1 species
UACGUAGGUGGCUAGCGUUGUCCGGAUUUACUGGGCGUAAAGAGCGCGCAGGCGGUCGUUCAAGUCGAGUGUGAAAGCCCCCGGCUCAACUGGGGAGGGUCACUCGAUACUGAUCGACUUGAAGGCGGGAGAGGGAAGCGGAAUUCCCGGUGUAGUGGUGAAAUGCGUAGAUAUCGGGAGGAACACCAGAGGCGAAGGCGGCCUGCUGGGCUGCACCUGACGCUGAGCCGCGAAAGCCAGGGGAGCGAACGGG